UUUUGGUGUAUGUUUGUUUUAGGCAGCAUUAAAAGUGGUUCAAGCCCGUCAUGAAAGAUCUGAGAAAACCUCAUCUGAACAGGAUGGAAGUGAAAGGACUCCAUCCAGCACAGAGUCAAACAAACCAGAAGAAAAUGAGGAACAGGUGGAUCCACUGGUGCUAAAUAUCAGACCCAAAAGGAAACUUUUUUCCAAGCAAAUUCAUGACGUAUGGAAACCUGAAACUGCCAAGAAAGAGCGAGCCACACGCAAGAGAACCUCUA